rfam:Fusarium fujikuroi IMI 58289 draft genome, chromosome FFTJ_chr06
GGCCGCGUGGCCUAAUGGCUAAGGCGCUAGAUUUCGGUCUCUUUCUGAACUCUCUAGAGAUUCCAGGUUCGACUCCUGGCGUGGUCG